AUCCAGCUGACGAGUCCCAAACAAGAAGAAAAACGCGUCUUGGAU
rnacentral:hammerhead_ribozyme from 1 species